rnacentral:tRNA from 1 species
GGAAGCGUGCCUGAAAGCUAAGGACCUCCUUGAUAGGGAGGACUAUA